GACGAACGCUGGCGGCGUGCUUAACACAUGCAAGUCGAACGCUGAAGCCCAGCUUUUGUUGGGUGGAUGAGUGGCGAACGGGUGAGUAACACGUGAGUAACCUGCCCCCUUCUUUGGGAUAACGCCCGGAAACGGGUGCUAAUACUGGAUAUUCACUGGUCUUCGCAUGGGGGUUGGUGGAAAGGGUUUUUCUGGUGGGGGAUGGGCUCGCGGCCUAUCAGCUUGUUGGUGGGGUGAUGGCCUACCAAGGCUUUGACGGGUAGCCGGCCUGAGAGGGUGACCGGUCACAUUGGGACUGAGGUACGGCCCAGACUGCUACGGGAGGCAGCAGUGGGGAAUAUUGCACAAUGGGGGCAAGUCUGAUGCAGCGACGCGGCGUGAGGGAUGGAGGCCUGCGGGUUGUGAACCUCUUUCGCUCAUGGUGAAGCCGCAACAAUGGUUGUGGUGAGGGUAGUGGGUAAAGAAGCGCCGGCUAACUACGUG
rnacentral:rRNA from 1 species